rnacentral:tRNA from 1 species
AUUAGCUCAGCUGGUUAGAGCAUGGUGCUAAGAAUGCCAAGGUCACAGGUUUGAUCCCUGUAU